CCUACGGGAGGCAGCAGUGAGGAAUAUUGGUCAAUGGUCGGGAGACUGAACCAGCCAAGCCGCGUGAGGGAUGAAGGUACAGAGUAUCGUAAACCUCUUUUGUCAGGGAACAAAGGCGGGGACGUGUCCCCGGAUGAGUGUACCUGAAGAAAAAGCAUCGGCUAACUCCGUGCCAGCAGCCGCGGUAAUACGGAGGAUGCGAGCGUUAUCCGGAUUUAUUGGGUUUAAAGGGUGCUAAGGCGGGCUUUUAAGUCAGCGGGCAAAGCCCGGGGCUAAACCCGGGCCCGCCGUUGAAACUGGCAGUCUCGAGUUGGAGAGAAGUAUGCGGAAUGCGCGGUGUAGCGGUGAAAUGAAUAGAUAUCGCGCAGAACUCCGAUUGCGAAGGCAGCAUGCCGGCUCCACACUGACGCUGAGGCACGAAAGCGUGGGUAUCGAACAGGAUUAGAUACCCUAGUAGUC
rnacentral:rRNA from 1 species